CCUUACAGCUUUUUCUGCCUUAUGAGUUAUGAGUUCAGCUCCAGUAUUCCCAGAUCUACCCUUCAUGGAUUUCCCUUCGAUCUUUUGGAUUCCAGGUCCACCUAGAUCGCUCUGCGAUCUUUAUCCUGAUAUUAGACUUGAUAAUCGAAGUUCAACACCGUGAUUUCACGGUCUGUUAUCUUAUUUGAUCGGAGAUCGCUCCUGAGAUACGGCGGAGCUCUGUUUCAAAAGCUCUAAUUCUCGAAGGAUAUAUCCAGUUGGUGUAUGAGCAGCAGAUGAUUCGAGAUUUCAUUUGAAGGCGGGGGCGAUAGAGCAAUUACAGAAUCUCUGUUGCUUGAUGAUGUGACCGUGGGCUGUGAUGUUGUUGAUUGAUUAAGGAGCGAUGGAAGGAGAUAGGGGGUGGAGCUGUGUGGUUUAUUUACGAGGAUGAUGUAUAAGAUAUAUAUACCGGGACUAAAAGGCCAGGAGGCUGAGAGGUCUUGUUUAUUAUCUUUGUCAUCCGACCUUUGCCAUGACAGGUGCGCUUGCAUGGCAGGUCACCCAUCAUCUUAAUAAAAUUAUUAUUUUCGUGUUUUUGAGGGGAGAUCGCACGGGGAAUUGCCCGGGUUCUCUCCUCAGCUGUCUGUGUUCUGCUUUCUCUUACUUCUCUUUGCCUUACGAUCCUAGCCUGAGAUCACGCGGCCCUUUCACGAGGAACUCCAACUCCAGCUUAGCUACCAGUUCAUCAAUUGCACAAUAUUGCAAUUUGUGAGGCUGACUCGAAAGGUAUUCUCUCACUUAUAUCUCCAAUGCGAAUUUCCUUAAUUUUUAGUAUCAAUCAAUCAGUCAUACUUACAUAACUUAGAAUCAGUCAUUUGCAAGAGAUCAUGAUUGUGACUUGGGUUAUUCGUUGCUUACCGGUAUUUGUUCCAAUCCAAUGUUAAUGUAGAUAAUAUGGGAUCACUAAGAGAUUGCGCAUCUAAAACUAGUUUCAGCUUUGGAAAUUAGCAGUUCUUGAAAAAAAACGCCACACACAACACACAUCCUGGAAAUUGAUUUUAAUCUUUUAUCGUGAUAACUCUAGUCUCCGAUCAGGAGUUUUUGCUUGCACCAAGCGUCUGUUCAUUCUAACGUCCCACUAUAACUAUUCAUCAUUCUUUCCCGACAGUGCAGGUUCAUUUCAUUUUCAAAUGCCUUGAAAUGCAAAUCAUAUUAUAUUUAUAUCCACUGAAGCAGUCAGAUUUGCCAUUACAGAGCUAACCUGGGCUUGAGUUUUAUUACUAGAUCUAGUUUCUCAAUUUCUAGCUCUUAUGAUACUCUGAAAUCCCAAUUCCUUUCGUAAUCAGGUCCUUUUUACAACCAUAAUUGUAGUUGCAAUUAUGUAUUCGAGAAUAUUGUGCUCUUGAUAUCCAUGUAAAACCUGUGCUCAUGGAUGAUGCUGGUGUUUUGUACUGUGCAAUUGGCUCUGUUGUUUGGUUCUUUGGGUUUUAAGUGAUUUAGCCUUCGCAUGGUGGUUUGGAGCCGCCUGACUUCCAUAACCAUGGCCUUCAACUCUCUCAGCUGUGCCAGCUCAGCAGUUCUUCACGACAUUCUCAAUUGAGCUGUCCUUGCUUCGCCAACGAUUUAGGUGAUCAAGAAGUUAUUCAAUGGUAUCAAGAAGUUAUUCAAUGGUUCGCUCCUCUUCCACCUGAAAGAAAAAUAAAUAACUCUAUGAUUUUUUCACGCAGUUGCAUUAGUUUUGAAUUGUUUCAUCAUUCUGCGUAAUUCGUUACGUUAUGUUUAAUUCUUUGCUGUUUGCCGGGGGAGAUGAAUUUCAUAUUGUUAAUUCAUGGUAGCAGAAGGUUUCUUGUUUUCUCAUGUGUUUAUGGUAUUUCGAUAUUUGAAGUAAUUUAUCACUGAACAAUUUGAAGUUCUUACUGUUUAAAUAUGGCCCUUAAUUUGGUCUAUCAAAUAUUGUUUGGUUUCAUGACUCGGAACCAUUUCUAACCAAAUUCAAAGCUCAUUGAUGUUCUUGAAAUGGUUCAAAUAACGGAACAGAACAAAGACCACGUGGAACCCCGUCCAUCAUGAUUUCUUGAAGAAAUGGUAUUACAAAUUCUUGAAGAAAUAGAAUAGGCAGAAAAAGACUUUGAAAAAUAUCAUGGCUAGGGGAAAAUAGAGCCUGCGGUUUUUUAAAAUUUGUCGGUGAAAACUAUGAUAUUUUAAAUAAUUUGUGAAAUAGGCUACAAUAAAUUUCAAACAGGGGAGAGAUUGUGGGUUGCAUCGAAGCUUUAAUGAUAGCUGCUUUGAACAUGAGAAAGGUUAUUUAUUGAAAAGAGUUCUUGAACAUCAAGUAAAGUUAGAGACGAUGGUCGGUGAAAUUCAAACUUGUUUAAAGAUGGUGGAUGUUUAUUUGGCUUUAGGCAGUGUGUGCGGAUCAUUCGGGAUUUUUGUCUCUUCAAGUUAUUUUUUUGAUCCUGAGGUAUGUUUCAAUAUCGUUCUCUUUUUUAAUCUUUUUUUUUUGGAAUUUGUAGCAAUCUAUUUUUAUUAUUUUUCUAAAUAUUGUAAUUUCUAAUUGUGGUUUUUGGAAAUGCAUGGGAAUUGUGAUGUAUUUUUCAAUUUUUUUCGCUUGUAUUAUUUGAAAUGUGCUAUUAUAUAUAUAUAUAUAUAUAUAUAUAAUAGUUUCCAUGAACACAACAUGCUUUAUAAAAACCUUCUUUAUCGAAGGUUACCUUGGCCACCAACUAGUUUACUUUUUAUUUUUUUUAUCUAAAAUUUAAAGGCUGCAACAAUAUUGUCGAAGUGAGUAAAAUCUAAAUUGUUGCGGUAAUUAUGUUGCUGUCAUUAUUGAGUGGUAGUUAUGUUGGUGUUUUUUUUUCCUUGUCAUGCCAUGACAUUUGCUGUAACAGAGAAAUGUGUUGUUAUUUUUAAUAAAUUUUUAAUUGUGCUAUUUUUCCAAAUGCGAUGUGCUAGUUCUAAAACCAUAAGUGUGGGUAGGUUGUUCAAGGGAAAGAAUGUACAUAUGAACAUUGCAAGCAUUAUCUUAUUUUUCUUUUCUUUUAAUUAGUUUUUUUUUUUUUCAACUUUAUUCUUGGAUGGUUUUGAAUUUAUUUUUAUAAUCUGUUUUGUUUGUUUCUAUAACUUGUCUCAACUAAACAUACUAGUAUUUGAUAUGUGAUUGAUACUAGUAUUUAAUAUGUGAUUGAUACAUGAUUUUGCAAGUUUUUGUUUUAUUAUUAUGUAAUUAAGUAAAAUAUAGAUUAAGAAAAUAGAAUUAUUAAAUGACUUAGAGCUUGGGUUUAGAUUCAGCAUUGAAGCGUUUAGGUUAAGCAUUGAAGCUGGAGUUAAUAUUAUUUUGGAAGUUUUUUUUUUUUGAAAAACUAAUUCAUGUUUUUAUUUAACUCAGUAAAUUUUAAACUUGAUAAGUUGACUGAGUUAUGUCGAAAAAAAAAAUAUCAUGAACUUUUUUAAAAACUAAAUCAUAUUUUUUUAUAGUCAUUUGAUUUGUUUUUGGACUCGUCAAGUUGGUUUAGUGUCUUCUAAUUAAAAAUGCUAUUGAAAAUGUUUUAAAAUAAUUUUUUAUUUUUUUUUGGUUUUUUAAUAUUAGCUCAUUAAAAUCAUUGAAAGAUUAAAAAAAUAUUUAAAUUGGUACUUCUAUGAUAAUAUUUAUUCACGCAACAGCAUGCACGAAUGUGCGUAUUACUGGAAAUUGUACAACAAUUGUCAUUGUGUGUGUUAAUGCAGAACCAUUACUUCAUUUUUUUAAACGCUUUGUUUGAUUUAGAGUCAAUUUUAAUGAUGCCUCUUAAUGAAAAGGUUAAAUUUAAGACUUGUGAGGUCGAUCCAGUGUGGUUUAAUGCAGACAAUUUUUUUUAUUACUUGCCUGUCCAGUCUUUUUAUCAAUCUAUAAGGUUCUGUUCUGUCUUAAAAAAAAAUAAAAAAAUCAGGGGUGAUGAUGGACUUUUAGGUACAAUUUUUUUUUUUUUUAAAUAGAGAAUGAUUUCUUAUUGUCCCUUAUUCGAGUCCAUUCUUCUUUGAUGUCCACAAGAUCUAUAAGCUCAAAAUGGAAGAGCGCUCGUUAUCCCAUCAUGGGGUUUUGAGAGGUUGGUGGUUCAAAUCCACUUAGAUUUUAUUAAUUACCUAUUUACUUUAGCUUGAUAUGUUUGGUAGCUUCUGUGCUUUAUUAAUGACGUAGACUGGUUGUUUAACACAGUUAAUGUAAGAAAAGGCUGUUGAAGUGUAUACCUAUUUCAUUUUACUUUGAUAUUUUCUUCAAAGUAGAUCGAAUUCCACCUUCCAAGUUGGACAUUUGGAGGGAGAUACGCACUCCGUUAGUUUUUGGCCGGAUUCAUUCUGUGGAGCACGGGCAUUGCAAGUUCAAAUUGCUCAAGGAUGUCCAUACUAUACACUAAAUGAACUAGCAAUGGGCUUUGGACAACAUAAGGUUCGAGCUGCCCAGGGAUUGAUAUGGGUAUGGUGACAAAGUCAAUGCUUAUGUUUUAUUUUUUAGGUGUAUUAAAAUUUUAGUUUGGUGGACUCGGAGUAGAGUUUGCUAAAGAGAGGCUUAAUUGUUAUUAUAGCCUUUGUUAGUAACUUGAAGUAGUUUAGCCUAAAAUAAGUAAAACUAGGUAAAAGUAAAACUAUUCUUUAAUCACAGUAGUUUUACUUAUUUUUUUAAUGUGUCUUCCUCUUAUCAUGCAAGGAGUACAACACCCUAUCAAUCGACUUAUUUUCUGGCGCUCUA